rnacentral:rRNA from 1 species
CGUAGGGUGCGAGCGUUAAUCGGGAAUUACUGGGCGUAAAGCGUGCGCAGGCGGUUUUGUAAGACAGAUGUGAAAUCCCCGGGCUCAACCUGGGACCUGCAUUUGUGACUGCAAGGCUAGAGUACGGUAGAGGGGGAUGGGAAUUCCGCGUGUAGCAGUGAAAUGCGUAGAUAUGCGGAGGAACACCGAUGGCGAAGGCAAUCCCCUGGACCUGUACUGACGCUCAUGCACGAAAGCGUGGGGAGCAAACAGGAUUAGAUACCCUGGUAGUCCACGCCCUAAACGAUGUCAACUGGUUGUUGGGUCUUUACUGACUCAGUAACGAAGCUAACGCGUGAAGUUGACCGCCUGGGGAGUACGGCCGCAAGGUUG